AUAUCAAUAAGCGGAGGAAAAGAAACCAACAGGGAUUGCCUCAGUAGCGGCGAGCGAAGCGGCAACAGCUCAAAUUUGAAAUCUGGCCUCGGCCCGAGUUGUAAUUUGUAGAGGAUGUUUUUGGCACGGCUCCUUCUGAGUCCACUGGAACGUGGCGCCAGAGAGGGUGAGAGCCCCGUAUAGUCGGAAGCCUAGCCUGUGUAAAACUCCUUCGACGAGUCGAGUAGUUUGGGAAUGCUGCUCUAAAUGGGAGGUAAAUGUCUUCUAAAGCUAAAUACCGGCCAGAGACCGAUAGCGCACAAGUA
rnacentral:rRNA from 1 species